ensembl:lncRNA
CCCGGAAGUCCUCGGCCGAUCGGCCAGUGCGAUUCCGGACCUAGUCGUCCGGGCGCCCGGGACCCCGGCGAUGGGCCUGAGGAGCCCGGGGUGACGGGAGGAGUCCGGGAGCCCCGGCGCUUCCGCGCAGAGCUGGGAGUGACCCGGGUGCCGCCGGGGAGGGGGCAGCGGUGCAUGCAGCCCGGAGGCCGCCGUAGGAAACCAUCGGAGCGUUGGGCGGCAGCGAUCGCAGAGAGAGGCUCCGCGGAGGAAGGGAGGGUCCAUCCCCCUUCGGAGGGGCGCUCUGGAGGCCGGGUCAUUUAGCCGAGGAGGAAGGAGCCGGGUCCUUUCCGAGGGCCAGGGGACAAGGAGGAAGCUCCAAGGGAAAGAGCAGCCCCGGGCUUACCGCAGAGAGGGCAGCCCUAAGACACCUGGAGCCUCCCAAAGUGGGAAUGAGCGGGUCCACCUGAGAGGGACGGGAAGAUUGUGCUCACCCAUGCACAGGUAGUGAGCAGGGUGGUCCUGUCGGGGUGAGGAAACCUAAGAUAAGUGAGGGGGGAAAAGAUGAGAGCUUUCUGCUUUCUGAGAUGAGGGGAAUUAGUUGGCCAGAUGUCAUCUAAUUGAGCAGGAGAGAUGAGGGCAAAGCCUUAAUGAGGGUCUAGGAGAGAAAUCCUGCAGACUUGACCUAGGAAUCAGAAGGAUUCUCUCAAAAUAAGAGAAAUCUCAGAUAACUGCAACAGACACAAAAGAGGCUUUGAAUGGUGUCUAUUUAGGAGAGCCAAGAAGUAGAGGUUAACUACAUGUCCUUCUGCCCUUCCCUCUUUGUGGGACUUUUUCAUGCAGUGAUUGGACUGUCCCUUCUGACAUGUCAGGCAUAUACGUGGUAGUUCUGUAUAUUUGUUGUCUACUGACUUAAGUGAUGGUGACUUGUCAUUUUUAUUUACUUAAGCAGACACUUUUUAUUUGGUAGUGCUGGGUAUUGAACCCAGGGCCUCACACUCUACCAGUGAGCUACAUCCACAGCCCCUUCAGCAAACAUAUUGAAUGUUUAACUUCUCUUCAUUGGGUUAAUUUGGGCCCUGUUUUGGUCCCUGAACUCUAGUGGGAUGACUCUCCAAAGAACUCACAUUGCUUCCCCAGAUACUUAAGGAGGAGCCAGGCAUGGUGUUUCAAGCCUGUAAUCUCAGCCCUCGAGAUACUGAGGCAGGAGGAUCGAUGCAAGUUUGAGGCCAGCCUAGACUACAUAGUGAGUUCAAAGCCAGCCUGAACUACAUAGCAAGACUGUCUCAAAACACUGAAAGAAACAAAAAAUAGAAGAAGUGCCACUUACUGAGAUAGGAAAUACAGGAGCAGGUUUGAGGGGGGUUGUGAGGUACAGUUUAAUGUGUGUAUAAGACAUUGUACAGGCUGAAUAUAGAGGUGUGGAAUUAAUGAAAAAAUGUGAUGUGGGAUUAUAAAGUGCAGAAAUCAGAUAUGAGGAAUUAUAACUAGGUCAUAUACAAGCAAAUUGACUGGACUGACAUAUUUUAGUGCCUAAGACCAGCAGAGUUGUGGGACGCACAAAAACAUUUAGGUAAGACACCACUUGUCUUCACAGAAGAUAGUGUGCAGCUGUGGAGAUAAAUGUUCAUUUAGCGGCAAUACUGGGCACAGUGUGUAUGCUAGGAGGGACCUGUAGACCAAGUGUUGGGGGAAUGUGGAAAAGAAGAUGCUUUGACCAUGUGGCUUCACGGAGUGGGCUUUGAACUGAGCCUUGAAGGGAGAAGGAAAUAAAGGAGAAAGUUGUUUUGGACUUAGGGAAUGACAGAGGCGCAGAAACCUGAAAUUAUAUAAGUGUAUGUUCAGAGUGCAGUGGGUGGGUGGUAUGGCUGGGGCUUAACGUUCCUGGGGUGUGAUACUAGUUCUUAGGUGUACUCUGGAAGGGUAUUUUGAGGCCAAUGAGGUAGACUCUGAGUAGCAUGCUUAAGUAUGU